UCAGAUGGUAUUGGUCGCGUAUUCAGCAGAUGGUAUUGGUCAGAUGGUAUUGGUCAGAUGGUAUUGGUCGCGUAUUCAGCAGAUGGUAUUGGUCACAUAUUUAUGAACUUGAAACAAGCUUUAUUAGUAUUUAAUCAGUGAGACAUUAACAUGAGCCCUCCUUCCUUCCCCAGGUCUGUUUGCUACUCCUCUCCUGGCAGGUCUACCUGAGAAGGUGCAGUCAUUCCUGGCUCGUCAGGUGCCCUUCCCGUCCCGCCUGGGAGACCCUGCAGAGUUUGCUCACCUGGUGACAUCACUGGCUGAGAACCCCAUGAUCAACGGAGAGGUCAUCAGGCUGGGCCAGAGCCAUCCGCAUGCAGCCCUGAUGGGGAGGGUCUAGUGGGGAGUACAGUUGCAUUUCAGUCACUCUUAUCCAGAGCCACUUAGUGAGUGCAUACAUUUUCAUUGGUACUGGUCCCCCGUGGGAAUCGAGCCCACAACCCUGGCGUUGCCAGUGCCUUGCUCCACCCACUGAGCCACACGGGACAUUUGGACACCAAAUGGAAUGUAACACAUGUACCCCUACUGUAGCUCAAAUUAAUGUUUGUGUGUUUCUGUUGUUCAUAUCCACAGCACUGCAGUACUCCUCUAUGCUCUCUGUGGUUUUGUAACUAAUAAAAAACCUCAUCCUC